GGCCGCCUGGCGAAAUGGCAUCGCGUCUGACUACGAUGGCGUUAUCAGGAGAUUGCAGGUUCGACCCCUGCGGUGGUCA